rnacentral:rRNA from 1 species
UACGUAGGGGGCAAGCGUUGUCCGGAAUCAUUGGGCGUAAAGAGCGUGUAGGCGGCUUGGCAAGUCUCGCGUGAAAUCUUGCGGCUUAACCGCAAGCGGUCGUGAGAAACUGCCUGGCUAGAAUCCGGAAGAGGAGAGCGGAAUUCCUGGUGUAGCGGUGGAAUGCGCAGAUAUCAGGAAGAACACCCGUGGCGAAGGCGGCUCUCUGGGACGGUAUUGACGCUGAGACGCGAAGCGUGGGAGCGAACAGG